rnacentral:rRNA from 1 species
GAUAUUCAAAGGAACCUCUAAAGCGAAGGCAAUAGUCUAGAUUGGAACUGACACUGAGGUAUGAAAGCGUGGGUAGCAAAAGGGAUUAGAUACCCCCCUAGUCCACGCCCUCAACGAUGAGUGCUAUUCUUUGGGAUUUUCAGAGAAACAACUAACGUAUUAAGCAUUCCACCUGGGAACUACGAUCGCAAGAUUAAAACUCAAAGGAAUUGACGGGGACCCGCACAAGCGGUGGAUGAUGUGGAUUAAUUCGAUGCAACGCGAAAAACCUUACCUACCCUUGACAUGUACGGAACCUUUGAGAGAUCAGAGGGUGCUCGAAAGAGAGCCGUAACACAGGUGCUGCAUGGCUGUCGUCAGCUCGUGUCGUGAGAUGUUGGGUUAAGUCCCGCAACGAGCGCAACCCUUGUCUUUAGUUGCCAUCAUUCAGUUGGGCACUCUAGAGAGACUGCCGGUGACAAACCGGAGGAAGGUAAGGAUGACGUCAAGUCAGCAUGCCCCUUACGCUCUGGGCUACACACGUGCUACAAUGGUCGCGACAAAGAGUUGCCAGUCUGCAAAGACGCGCUAAUCUCAUAAACGCGGCCUCAGUUCGGAUUGUAGGCUGAAACUCGCCUGCAUGAAGGUGGAAUCGCUAGUAAUCGCCGGUCAGCUACACGGCGGUGAAUCCGUUCCCGGGCCUUGUACACACCGCCCGUCACACCACGGAAGCUGGCCACGCCCAAAGUCGUUACCCUAACCUUUUGGAGGGGGGCGCCUAAGGCAGGGCUAGUGACUGGGGUGAAGUCGUAACAAGGUAGCCGUACUGGGA